rnacentral:rRNA from 1 species
CGCGUAGGCGGCUUGGUAAGUCGGAUGUGAAAACCCGAGGCUCAACCUCGGGCGUGCACCCGAUACUGCCCGGCUAGAGGUAGGUAGGGGAGAUCGGAAUUCCUGGUGUAGCGGUGAAAUGCGCAGAUAUCAGGAGGAACACCGGUGGCGAAGGCGGAUCUCUGGGCCUUACCUGACGCUCAGGCGCGAAAGCUAGGGGAGUGAACA